ACAGAGGGUGCAAGCGUUGUCCGGAUUUAUUGGGCGUAAAGCGUCUGUAGGCGGUUUAGUAAGUCUGAAGUGAAAGAAUGGAGCUCAACUCCAUCCCCGCUUCGGAAACUAUUAAACUAGAGAAUGUUAGAAGUAAGUGGAAUUUCCAGUGUAGCGGUGAAAUGCGUAGAUAUUGGAAGGAACACCAGCGGCGAAGGCGGCUUACUGGGACAUUUCUGACGCUGAGAGACGAAAGCGUGGGUAGCGAAAGGG
rnacentral:rRNA from 1 species